rnacentral:misc_RNA from 1 species
GAUGAAGAACGCAGUGAAAUGCGAUAAUUAAUGUGAAUUGCAGAAUUCAGUGAAUCAUCGAGUCUUUGAACGCACAUUGCGCCCCCUGGUAUUCCGGGGGGCAUGCCUGUCCGAGCGUCAUUGCUGCCCUCAAGCACGGCUUGUGUGUUGGGCUUCCGUCCCUGGCAACGGGGACGGGCCCAAAAGGCAGUGGCGGCACCAUGUCUGGUCCUCGAGCGUAUGGGGCUUUGUCACCCGCUCCCGUAGGUCCAGCUGGCAGCUAGCCUCGCAACCAAUCUUUUUAACCAGGUUGACCUCGGAUCAGGUAGGGAUACCCGCUGAACUUAAGCAUAUCAAUAAGCGGAGGGA